rnacentral:tRNA from 1 species
GGAAGCGUGCCUGAAUAAAAGGACUAUUUUGAUAGAAUAGAUAAUAGAGACCACAAUCUCUCACUUCCU